rnacentral:rRNA from 1 species
AUUUCAUGGAGAGUUUGAUCCUGGCUCAGGACGAACGCUGGCGGCGUGCCUAAUACAUGCAAGUCGAGCGGAUCUUGUCCUUCGGGACAAGGUUAGCGGCGGACGGGUGAGUAACACGUGGGUAACCUGCCCAUAAGACUGGGAUAACAUUCGGAAACGAAUGCUAAUACCGGAUACGCGAAUCGGUCGCAUGGCCGAAUCGGGAAAGGCGGAG